UUGCUGUCUGCAUUCAUGAAAAGUGCAUCCCUCGGAUCGUAAUUGUUACUAAUAGUCGACAUCAACAACUCGUCUCUCGCGGACAUCGUCGAAAGCAAGACACAGGGAUCUUAAUUUCCGCGGAGUUCAGGCAACAUAGCAAAGCUACUCGAGCCAUCGAUAAUCGCGAGAAUUUAUCUAAUGCUGAGUCUGAGGCAAUUUUAAUUCUUGGUUUCGCGCUGGCUGCAAUGGCUCCAAUGGAUUAACGUGCGCAUACAUACGCAAACGGAAGCACUCGAUUUUAUAACGAAGAAUAAGAAACAUUAUGAAAUUAUAUGUUCAAUUGCUGCUCCUAGACUUUGUAACACGACGUUCGACACUGUCAAGAAUUAUUUUGUGUAAAAAUUCUGCAGUUUGAUGGACAAGAGACAUUCCCUUUGCUACAACCGCUCUUCUACAAGCAAGCAACGCGAAUCUUCUACGCGGAGCUCUUGGUUACCAUGGGGCUCGCUCUUUUGCCUCUAAAUCCGAUCCUGCUUUUAGCUUUAUCAUCUGUAAGAGAGACUCUUCUCUCUCUUCUGAUCUCUCUCCCCAUCUCCCUCCCUGCGCUCCACCUCACUCUUGACGUGGGCGAAAAUAGCGGAUCGGUCGAACAAAUGAGAAAGAGAGACGGAGAUAUCGUGCGCUCAGCAGGGUAGCAAAAGAGACGUCUUUGUGCCGCGCUAUCUUCGUCCAGGCAAUCUUUCCUGUUUUCUCCCUUACGCCUCCCUAUCCCCCUGGUCGUUGGAUAUACUCCUACAUGUACAAGAAACGCUUCUUUGUUCUCCGCGUCCUCCCUUAUACGUAAUACAGGUAGCACAUCGAAAACCGAAUUAAACCCGCCCUCCAAUGUCGAGUCGGCGGCUCAGAAUGCACGUAUGCUCCCUGUCCCACUCGUCUUUUAUUCGAGUCCAUCUUUCCCAGAGAUGGUGCUAACGAAAAUGCAAUCUCUCUUUCUCCCAAGGGGUUUCCAAGGAUAUUCAAAUUUCCUGAAAGAUAAUCCUCCGAAAAUAACGCCCGCUCGGUAAUUUAACGAAAAUGAACAUAUUGCCCCUGCAUCUGCUGAAUUUUUUGGAUUUAUCGUUCCAAUAAUUUUACCAGUAAAUUUUUUGAUUUUACCAGUAAAGCAUUUUUGAAUUUAAUGAAUUUUACUGUAUGAUAAAUUUUACAAAAUUGACAUGGGACAAAAUGAUGAUUUAUCGUACUAUUGAUCCACGUAUACCGAUGCCAAUGCAAUCUUAUCCUUAGAACAGAUUUACCGUCAUGGCAACAUGUUCCCGUCGUUGUCACGAUAUUUCGUAAAUCCCCGGCUGAAUGUCCGUACGUGUAUGUGUGUGCACCGUACGUUGACGCUGAUCGAUCGUACGAGAGAUCUUUAUCUCGCAGCUAAGAAUAAUUCGUCGAACCGGUUGGCCAAUGUACGCGGUACGUAAAUUUUUGUACAUAACACGCCUUUGCCAAAGUGAAAAUAGAGUGGCCGGUUGCAAGCUGCGGGCAGAUUGCCCAUCUAUUACGCAAACGUGAACUGCGAAAAGAGUUCAACGGCUGAAGAUGUAUCCCAAGUUUGGAUGCGCUGAUCAUCACGCAUAAUAGAAAGAGAGAGAGAGAGAUAUCAAAAGGAAAUAAGAGAAAGAAGAAAAGAGAUCAGUUUAUUAUUCUGAGAUAAACCUUGGCAAGAAAGAAACAAAGAAAUAUAAAAAAAGCAUAAGAGAUAAAAAGUAUGCAUUGAAUAUUCAUUUUUAUGUAAAUGUUAUAUUAAUCUUGAAAAACGGAAUUGAUUCUAUGUAUUAUUAUGCUUAUAGGUUGCACGCAAAGAAAAUAUAAUUAUUCCAAGUUUGAUCACAGAAGCGGAUUAAGGUUUCGAUCAGCACAGCGUGCCGCAAUCGAGAGACGCGAAAGUGAGAGCACCGCAGGAAGUCGCGAAAGAUAAGGGAUGGCGAUUAUUACAUAUCGGGGUAAACGAACUUCCAUAUGAACGAUAAACGUUCGCGUACGUGCAGUUGCAUGUAUAUCUGCGUGGCGAAUACGUUUCGAAAUAACUACGAGUCAACUUUCACACAAGACGAGCAGUUUCUUAAGAAUGAUUUGAUGAUAUAAGAAUCGCCUUGAUGAUAAAAGUUCAACAACCUUGAGUAUUUGAUCUUUGAAAUUAAUUGAAAAAUUUCUUCCGGAUUUCAAUCUCAAUUGCGUAACGAAAAAAGAUAAUGUUGCUUUAAGUAAGAGAGCCAAAAAGAUAAAUCAAGAAAGGCACCGCACAGCUGAUCCUUAUCUUGAUUUUAUGUAUCAGUGGCUUGAAAUUGGAGCAUCUAGCAUCAUUUCCUGCAGUCUCCAUAGAAGCAAAGAGAGAGAAAUAAUAAAUAUCACGUAUCUAAGUUCCGCUAUCAAGCCGCAAACAAGUUGACAUUGGCCAGUUACAAAACGAUACGGACAGUAAAACGAACAUGCAAGCUGUUUUCUCUUUUAUUUUUAAACAUGCUAACAUUAGAUACGCAUAAGUAUGACGAAAAAGGUUUUUUUAACGAUGCUUUUUUUUAGCCUCCAAUAUCUCGUUUUAACUGAUAUGUGAAAGACAUGCAUGCAAAUAUAAUUACUGAAGCACAACUUGAGCUAAGCGGAUUCAGUUAAUUUUAACCGUUCGCCAUACGACAUAAAAAGAAAUUCCGUUGCGGAGUUCCAAGAAAAACACGGGAAAAUUGACAAAAUACAAAAUACGAAAAUAGAAGAAGAAAAUCAGUAAUGUCAUGAAAAAACGUCAAGAUUAUAUAAGACCGUUUAUAACAUGAAAGACACACAUUUAUUAACAACUUCUCAAAGAUAUACAUUUACAACGUGUAAACGAAAUUCACACAAGAAGGUGGAAUAAUUAUAUUUCCUUUGCAAAGGUCGAUAAAUAUUGUCACUCUCCUUCAGCUACAUUCAUAUCUGAAAAAAGUACUAAUCUCUAUACCAAGGAAAGAAACAUCCUUUCAAGCUGCAUAGCUCUUGAAGAGUUUCUCGCAGCUGUGCCUCGAUGUUUCCCCCUUUUCCCUGAACGUGACUGUGUUUUUUGGAAGGGAAGAUUCGUACGUCACCCAACAUCCCCUCAUUCCAACAUCCUUACGCAGAGGCGUAUGAAAAGAUCUAAGUUGAUGAGUAAAACGUCACGUGUUCUGAAAAUCGCAUUUUAUUUUGCUUGCUCUCUUCUUCCAAUCCGGACGUCACGCUCACUGUGUGGUGACUCGUCUGCACAAGUUCCGAGGACCAUUAGCGAAAGAUGCCGAGUAGGCGGUCGUGCCUGUUUACGCGUGCACGCGCCUGUUUCUUCGUGUGCUUGCUGAACGUCAGUGCGGCUACACCGGUCAUCAGCUGAGCAUCUAAGAACAAACAUAUUGGGUCAUCCGGACACGCUCUUGAUCGUCCGCAGACGUACACGCCAACCAGAACUGUCUCGUCGCCAAAUUGGACACAGAUGUCCCGAAAUGCGUAAUGUCUAUUAAUUUGGGAGCGCUGAAUAUAUAGGCUGUUAACAAAAUGAUCUGCUAAACGUGUCUCCUGCCUUCGAAGAGCAUUUCGAGCUAUUCAAGAAGUCCUUAGCCACGCAGUAGCACUCGUGUAACAUGUAAUAAUAAGGCAGAUAUGAUGUAAACAGAAUAGAAGAGAAAUUUGGAAGAAUAGCGCACAAACCUGGGUCAAGCCUUGCGCAAUAUUGAAACAAUGCUCGAGGAUCGACAAAGAAUAGCGCAAUUCUUCGAUCCGGUUUACGUUUAAGGCGGCAGAGAAUUUUUCACGAGAGGUCAGAUGUGCCGAUAAUACGAGUUUUUGAGAUGGAAAUAUGAACAAACAGAUUGCGUCGAGCGGCCACGAGCGCGAAACCGGUUUCCUCUAUCCAGUCCUAUACGCCGUGAUAAUUGCGGGAACUAGUUGAAACAAUACGACCCCCACGCACAUUCUAGCGCUUCAAGCUUUAGUCGGCUCGGCUUCGCCACUCCUCGCGUUUUACAUUUACGAGUAUCCUUGUAACGCUCGUAAUAUUCAUGUAUAUCAUAAAAUUUAUUAUUAUAAACCGAUAUACGAAAACGUUUUUCUUUUGUAAUAACAAUUUCUUUGGCAUCUACGUACAUAUAAAUACCGUAUUAUUACUUAAUAACAGUAUUAUUAAUUAAUAAUGACAAACUUGUUGUCGAAUUCAAGCCGAAAUCGGUUAUUAGGAUAGUCUGGGAUGAUCCUUGACAGGAGAUUAAAGACGUACAAGAAAUAGGAGACAAGAAAUGAGAAGAACAUUUUCUGAUAUAUAUCUAUUUAUUAUUUGCGUUUCUCGAACGCAGAUAAAUUGUCGCAGAUAUUACAAAUUAGAAAUAACAUCACAUACAUAGUAGAUUCGUAAUACGGGGAAUACGUCCGCAAAGGAUCACUAACGUAUCGAAAAGCCGCGGCGUUAAUCGCGGGCAAACUAUCGCGAAAACUACGUAAUCGGACUUUCAUAUCGCGCAUAAGGUACAAAAAUAUCCAAAGCACAGCGAGCGCCGCGCAGAUCGUUGCUGUGCAACAUUACGAAUAUGUUUCUCUUUCCCUCUAUCUUUGCGAUACGGGAAAUUGUUAUCCUCGUUCUCCACCCUGUUGCUAUGAAGAGCCUUAUCAAUUCUUGCUUCUUGACCCAAUAUUUAACCCUUGAACAGUAUAUAAAAAAGUAACUUUUACAUUGUUCGCUAUUGUUAUCAGCUCUGUAUUUGUCGGCCACCGAGCAAAUUGCUGAUGGAUUCACAAUGGAUAUCUUCAAGUGCCCUACAAAACAGCCGCGUUCUCUCCCUUCAAACUCUCAUCGUACGAUGCGAUCAUGCAUAUUCAUCGUCAUGAUUUCUUUUUCAGGAAUUUCGACCAUCGUUCGCAUCGAUCCGGAGACUUCACAGCCACAGGGUGAACCUUCCCGCGCGCUCGUGAGAUCAGGAAGCGCUCUCCUCUCGACGGUUCGUGAAAAUAAUUUCAUCUCGCAGAUGGCCGAUGAGAACGCGUGAUCCCGCGAUUUGUGUGACACCGGUGAUGCGUUUCGAUCAACGCACAAUCGCUAAAUCGAUAAACGAUAAACAAAUAGGGAUCGGCUAUCAAACUGAUUCUCGUGCGAGCAAAAGCAACGGAACACUGGCCGCUUUCAACUUGUAACUAAAUUGUUGAUGCAUUGUGUUUGGAUCUCUUUCAUUUCUACAAUACGGUUCCCUCGCAAGACCAUCAUCGUCAUCAUCAAGGAUGCGCCCCAAGAACGUUAGACAUUACUCUUACUCAUAUAAAUGUACAUAUAUCCGUUUUAUAAUAUUUUUAUAUUUUAUUUCUUUCCUCCAGAGAAAAACUUGUACUUUUCUUACACAAUUACAGCUUGUAGGAGCAACUUUAUGCAAAAAACUUUGAGAUAAACUUUUGAAACAUGUCUAAUAAAAUUCUCACACACUGUAAAAACGUGAUUAACGAGCACAUCAUCGACGUUACAUUUCGACAUUAUUGUGUCUAUGAUAUAAUAUGUCAGAAAACGCGUAAAUUGUUAUGUGUCCAUGUUCAACCCUCGACAGUAUAAACGACGCUCGGGGAACUUGAAUAAAUCCCAGACUUCGCAAAACUAUACGCUACAAUUAUAAAAUUGAAUAUAAAUAAGAUAUAUAAUCACAAAAAGUUUAUAUGAUUUCUCCAGAUUUAAUAACUCUCACACCUGGCUCUUUUUAUUUCCCACAGUAAUUAACUCUAAAUUUAUAAAAUAUAUCAUUUUAUAUAUAUUAUACAAUAUUCGUAAUAUAACAAAUUAUAUCUCAUGUUUGUUGCAUAUAAUAUGUUUCAAUAUAAUAUAAUAUGCGAACUCACAUCACUCACAUCGAUUCUGCAUUUCGUAAAAAAGGUGUUUUAUACUGUUUAGGAUCAAUGUUUGAUGUAAAACAUAUACACACACUCGCAAUUCACCCACACACUCCUAAUUAACUAUUGAAUAACGUUUAAACGAGGCCGCGGGUAUUGCUUUCAAUCGCUCUGCAAUACAAUCAUUGCGACUUGCGACGUCGUUUGUAGCGUUUUGUUACUAACAAAUAAUUGCUGAUUACAAAUAGUACACGAUGAUGUACAGGGCUGAUCAAAUCUCAUUUCCCGGAAAGUAAUCUGUCUCCUCAUUUAUUAUACCGAUAAUAGUUCGAGAACAAAAUUUCAAACUUUUUCUUUUACAUUACACUUGUGCAUCGUGAGAAACAGAUUUGACGAUCUUCGCAAAUCUUAGGCAAACCUUUCCGGGCAAUGAUCUUGUCAUUCUGUAUCACAAAAGAUAUCGGCUGGUUUGAAACAUUUUUGUAUCGUCUGCUUAUAUCGUUUGUUGUAUCAGCAAAUCAGUCUUACACUUUCGUGCAAAUGCGAUACAGUCAGAUUUACACCGCGCGUUUAAUUCUACACGUGGCCCCGUCUCUUUUCCUCAUAUGAAGUUUCGAUUGCCUAUCUUUUUUUUGUCAUUCAAGGAAGCAAGAGGAUGUGUGGCUGUAUGUAUAACUUGUAGGAUGGUGGGAAAGUUUCUCGGACGGGAUUCUCCCUUUUCCCUUCAAUCCUUAAACCUUCAACCGGUUCGAUCCUGACGUUCAGGUUGUCAAAAGUUGCCAGCACUAUCGUCAAAUUGUCGCUUUUUAUUUUAUAUGUUCGAUACUUCUUUGGACACUUCCCUUUCGCAAUAAAGUUAUCAAGAAAAACUCGGUUUUCCUGUACAAUGACAUUAAAGUACGGAUCUUUCGCAACGAGACCAAUUGAAUUUGCAUCACUAUUUUAACUUUGACGUAUCAAUUUUCUCGUUUUGCCCUGCGUUUUGUAGUGAUCGAGUAUUGUGAUAUCUCAAGUGUUUUUUCAAUUAAAUGCGAUAAAUUUCGCUUUAAACCUAAGAUCUUGCUAACUGUUCGAUUGAAAAGACUUGGAGUUUUUCACACAAAAGACUUCUCUGAUGUUAGAUCUAGAGAUUCUUAAUAUGUUAUACUGAUCUAAUGAGAUUAUUACGAUUCAGAUCUUUUGGCUGCAGUAGAAGCAUCUGCUUCUUGUUUUAUCGAUUUUCGUUGAAAGCAACAACUUCAUUGUCAAAUUUUAUGAGUUCAAUUUUAUCGGAUCUCGUCGCGAAAGGUCCGUCCGUUUAAAUAUCAUUGGGAAAGGGAAACUUCACUUGCCGCUACGACAAGUAUUCAAUUCGCCGGUUAAAAUGUAAUCGCCAUUCUGUGUAA
rnacentral:misc_RNA from 1 species